GUACACUCCUGCGGGAGGCAGCAGUGGGGAAUAUUGGACAAUGGGCGCAAGCCUGAUCCAGCCAUGCCGCGUGAGUGAUGAAGGCCCUAGGGUUGUAAAGCUCUUUCACCGGUGAAGAUAAUGACGGUAACCGGAGAAGAAGCCCCGGCUAACUUCGUGCCAGCAGCCGCGGUAAUACGAAGGGGGCUAGCGUUGUUCGGAUUUACUGGGCGUAAAGCGCACGUAGGCGGACUAUUAAGUCAGGGGUGAAAUCCCGGGGCUCAACCCCGGAACUGCCUUUGAUACUGGUAGUCUUGAGUUCGAGAGAGGUGAGUGGAAUUCCGAGUGUAGAGGUGAAAUUCGUAGAUAUUCGGAGGAACACCAGUGGCGAAGGCGGCUCACUGGCUCGAUACUGACGCUGAGGUGCGAAAGCGUGGGGAGCAAACAGGAUUAGAAACCCGAGUAGUCCCAUGAU
rnacentral:rRNA from 1 species